rnacentral:sRNA from 1 species
AUCAUAGUUAUUCUCCCAAGAAUCCCUGCCCCGGUGCAGUAGCUGAUGACCACAGCCAUGGAGUUAAUCUCUGGAAACAUCAUAGAAAUUUCCAGAACUGCAAGUCCUGGGAGAUCCUGAAUCCAGUCAAGCUGACAAUGAGGAUGAGCCACCACAGCUAAAUAUCUAAGCUGGAGUCUGGGAAGAGGUAUGAGAAUUCUGGAACAAGGUUUGAGGCUACUGGUGUCAACCAUCACAGCAAGGAACAGUCCCAAGUGGGAUGCAGUAUUUUACCCUGAGAACAUGAGAACACACGGACCUGUCAUCAGCCCUGAGUUAUCUUCUCUCCCACUGAAUGUCGCCUCAAGUACAAGACACAUUUCCAAGCUUUUGGAUUCCGGGAGCACAGAUCUAAUUUCUACUCUUUCCCUUAUGCCUUCCUUCACCACCACCAACCCAGCCAUAACAAGUGGUAUUUGAGAAGCCACUUCACGCACCUGCCCUCCAAGAAAGACCUCCAUGAUGUAGCAAUACCAGAUGCCUCCCACUUGCGCCU